UUCCUAUGUGACAGUAGUAGUGAGUAC
rnacentral:sRNA from 1 species